AGGGAAUCUUCCACAAUGGACGCAAGUCUGAUGGAGCAACGCCGCGUGAGUGAAGAAGGUCUUCGGAUCGUAAAGCUCUGUUGUUGGUGAAGAAGGAUAGAGGCAGUAACUGGUCUUUAUUUGACGGUAAUCAACCAGAAAGUCACGGCUAACUACGUGCCAGCAGCCGCGGUAAUACGUAGGUGGCAAGCGUUGUCCGGAUUUAUUGGGCGUAAAGCGAGCGCAGGCGGAAUGAUAAGUCUGAUGUGAAAGCCCACGGCUCAACCGUGGAACUGCAUCGGGAACUGUCAUUCUUGAGUGCAGAAGAGGAGAGUGGAACUCCAUGUGUAGCGGUGGAAUGCGUAGAUAUAUGGAAGAACACCAGUGGCGAAGGCGGCUCUCUGGUCUGCAACUGACGCUGAGGCUCGAAAGCAUGGGUAGCGAACAGGAUUAGAUACCCUGGUAGUCCAUGCCGUAAAACGAUGAGCGCUAGGUGUUGGGGACUUUCCGGUCCUCAGUGCCGC
rnacentral:rRNA from 1 species